rnacentral:lncRNA from 1 species
UCAUUACUGAUGUUUGAAUGUUUGAAUGAGUUGGUUUUCCUCCUAUGCAUGAAAUUGUGGAUCUGAGAUUAGAGAUUUGCGGAUUCGUGAUUUUGGUUUUAUGGAUAGUUGAUUCUCGAUUUAUAUAUUUACGAAUUUAUACAUUGUGGUUUUCUACCCCUUGAGGUAGUCGAUUUUCAAAAUAGAGUUUUCGUGUGGAAAAUAGUUUUUACAAUGUUUUCAAAUUGGUUUUUGUGAAUGUUUGAAUUAGAUUUUUAAAAGCAAAGCUUUCGGGUGGGGAGCACUUUUAAUAGGAUGACUGUUGUAUUAUUCAUUGCAUCAUCCAGCGCCUAAGGAGUACUUAGAGGUAUGCAUUAUCUCUAAGGAUUGCUAGCUGUAUGAAAAUGCAUGGCAUGAUGAUUGUUGAUUGGUAAAUAUAGAUUGUGGUUGAGAUUCUGAUGUACUGUUGGUAUGCCGUGCAAAUACAAAUGAGACUCUAUCCGAGUGGGUAGAGGAAUUUUGUAUUUGUGGUAGAUCUGUACGACACGUGGGCCAAGUUGGAGAAAAAAAGGCACGUUUUUCGCAAUUCUCAUUUCAAACAUGGUAAUGGAUUUUAAAAAGGCUUUUAUAAUCGGCCCCGGGGCGUGACAGAUUAAGAUGGUAUCAGAGAGUGAAACAAUUACAACUACAUUUGCAAGUUUUCUAACUG